rnacentral:rRNA from 1 species
AAUUUAAUACAACUUUUAACAACGGAUCUCUUGGCUCUCGCAUCGAUGAAGAACGCAGCGAAAUGCGAUAAGUAAUGUGAAUUGCAGAAUUCAGUGAAUCAUCGAAUCUUUGAACGCACCUUGCGCUCCCUGGUAUUCCGGGGAGCACGCCUGUUCGAGUGUCAUGAAACUCUCAAGCAAGAUAGAUUUAUUUCUAUCUCUGUUUGGAUAUGGACUCUGCCGCGUCAAUGCGGCUGGUCUUAAAUAUAUUAGCUGGUCCUAGUGAAGGUUUGGUUCUACUCAGCAUGAUAAUUAUCUGAUGUUGAGGACAGUCUUAGGACUGGCCAGGCUCUCUCUGGAUUGCUUCUAAUCGUCUUUGGACAAUUAAUCAAUAUCUGACCUCGAAUCAGGUGGGACUACCCGCUGAACUUAAGCAUAUCAAU